rnacentral:rRNA from 1 species
UACGUAGGGUGCGAGCGUUAAUCGGAAUUACUGGGCGUAAAGCGUGCGCAGGCGGUCCGCAAAGUCUGAUGUGAAAGCCCUGGGCUCAACCUGGGAAUGGCAUUGGAAACUGGCGACCUAGAGUGCGGUAGAGGGUAGUGGAAUUCCCGGUGUAGCAGUGAAAUGCGUAGAGAUCGGGAGGAACAUCCGUGGCGAAGGCGACUACCUGGACCAGCACUGACACUGAGGCACGAAAGCGUGGGGAGCAAACAGG